rnacentral:rRNA from 1 species
AGCGCAUACGGUGGAUGCCUUGGCAGUCAGAGGCGAUGAAAGACGUGGAAGCCUGCGAUAAGGCUCGGGGAGCUGGCAAACAAGCUGUGAUCCGGGCAUCUCUGAAUGGGGAAACCCACCGGUCUUCGGACCGGUACCGUACGGUGAAUACAUAGCCGUACGGGGCGAACUCGGGGAACUGAAACAUCUAAGUACCCGAAGGAAAAGAAAUCAACCGAGAUUCCCUCAGUAGCGGCGAGCGAACGGGGACCAGCCCUUAAGCUGGACAACUGGUAGGAGAAGGCCCUGGAAAGAGCCGCCAUAGUGGGUGAUAGCCCCGUAUCCGAAACCUGAGUCCAGUGAAAUCGAGUAGGACGGGACACGAGACAUCCUGUCUGAACAUGGGGGGACCAUCCUCCAAGGCUAAAUACUCCUGACUGACCGAUAGUGAACCAGUACCGUGAGGGAAAGGCGAAAAGAACCCCUGUGAGGGGAGUGAAAUAGAUCCUGAAACCGUAUGCGUACAAGCAGUCGGAGCGGACUUGUUCCGUGACGGCGUACCUUUUGUAUAAUGGGUCAGCGACUUAUGUUCAGUGGCGAGGUUAACCGUUUAGGGGAGCCGUAGGGAAACCGAGUCUGAAUAGGGCGAUUUAGUCGCUGGGCAUAGACCCGAAACCGGGCGAUCUAUCCAUGAGCAGGUUGAAGGUUGAGUAACAUCAACUGGAGGACCGAACCCACUGUCGUUGAAAAGCCAGGGGAUGACUUGUGGAUCGGAGUGAAAGGCUAAUCAAGCCCGGAGAUAGCUGGUUCUCCCCGAAAGCUAUUUAGGUAGCGCCUCGGACGAAUACCACAGGGGGUAGAGCACUGUUUCGGCUAGGGGGUCAUCCCGACUUACCAACCCGAUGCAAACUCCGAAUACCUGUGAGUACUAUCCGGGAGACACACGGUGGGUGCUAACGUCCAUCGUGAAGAGGGAAACAACCCAGACCGCCAGCUAAGGUCCCCAAAUACCAGUUAAGUGGGGCUAGGAGGUUGGCUUAGAAGCAGCCAUCCUUUAAAGAAAGCGUAAUAGCUCACUAGUCGAGUCGGCCUGCGCGGAAGAUGUAACGGGGCUCAAACUGGUUACCGAAGCUGCGGCUGUGCACGUAAGUGCACGGGGUAGGGGAGCGUUCUGUAAGCCUGCGAAGGUGUGUCGAGAGGCAUGCUGGAGGUAUCAGAAGUGCGAAUGCUGACAUGAGUAACGACAAUGGGGGUGAAAAACCCCCACGCCGGAAGACCAAGGGUUCCUGCGCAACGCUAAUCGGCGCAGGGUGAGUCGGCCCCUAAGGCGAGACCGAAAGGUGUAGUCGAUGGGAAACGGAUUAAUAUUUCCGUACCUUGGAUAGCUGCGAUGGAGAGACGGAGAAGGCUAGGUGAGCCGGGCGACGGUUGUCCCGGUUUAAGCAUGUAGGCAGUGGGAUUAGGCAAAUCCGGUCCCACAAUGCCGAGACGCGACGACGACUGCCCUUUUAGGGCGGGAAGUCAUUGAUGCCCUGCUUCCAGGAAAAUCUUCUAAGCUUCAGGCUAUUCGAGACCGUACCCCAAACCGACACAGGUGGUCAGGUAGAGAAUACCAAGGCGCUUGAGAGAACUCGGGUAAAGGAACUAGGCAAAAUGGUGCCGUAACUUCGGGAGAAGGCACGCCGGUGGUAUGUGACGCCCUUCGCGGGUUGAGCAGAAGCCGGUCGAAGAUACCAGGCCCCUGCGACUGUUUAUUAAAAACACAGCACUGUGCAAACACGAAAGUGGACGUAUACGGUGUGACGCCUGCCCGGUGCCGGAAGGUUAAUUGAUGGGGUUAGCGCCGGUAAACGGCGGCCGUAACUAUAACGGUCCUAAGGUAGCGAAAUUCCUUGUCGGGUAAGUUCCGACCUGCACGAAUGGCGUAACGAUGGGGGCGCUGUCUCUACCCGAGACUCAGUGAAAUUGAAAUCGCCGUGAAGAUGCGGUGUAUCCGCGGCUAGACGGAAAGACCCCGUGAACCUUUACUAUAGCUUCACAGUGAACUUUGAGCAUGUUUGUGUAGGAUAGCUGGGAGGCUUUGAAACCAGGACGCCAGUUCUGGUGGAGCCAACCUUGAAAUACCAGCCUGACCUGUUUGAGGUUCUAACUUCGACCCCUUAUCGGGGUUAAGGACACUGUGUGGUGGGUAGUUUGACUGGGGCGGUCUCCUCCCAAAGCGUAACGGAGGAGCACAAAGGUGGGCUAAGCAUGGUCGGACAUCAUGCGGUUAGUGUAAUGGCACAAGCCCGCUUAACUGCGAGACAGACACGUCGAGCAGGUACGAAAGUAGGUCAUAGUGAUCCGGUGGUUCUGUAUGGAAGGGCCAUCGCUCAACGGAU